rnacentral:rRNA from 1 species
UACGUAGGGGGCAAGCGUUGUCCGGAAUCAUUGGGCGUAAAGCGCGCGUAGGCGGCCCUGUAAGUCCGCUGUAAAAGUCAAAGGCUCAACCUUUGAAAGCCGGUGGAUACUGCAGGGCUAGAGUCCGGAAGAGGCGAGUGGAAUUCCUGGUGUAGCGGUGGAAUGCGCAGAUAUCAGGAGGAACACCGAUGGCGAAGGCAGGUCUCUGGGCAUUAACUGACGCUGAGGAGCGAAAGCAUGGGGAGCGAACAGG